rnacentral:rRNA from 1 species
UGGGGAAUAUUGCACAAUUGGCGCAAGCCUGAUGCAGCCAUGCCGCGUGUAUGAAGAAGGCCUUCGGGUUGUAAAGUACUUUCAGUCGGGAGGAAGGUGGUAAGGUUAAUAACCUUGGCAAUUGACGUUACCGACAGAAGAAGCACCGGCUAACUCCGUGCCAGCAGCCGCGGUAAUACGGAGGGUGCAAGCGUUAAUCGGAAUUACUGGGCGUAAAGCGCACGCAGGCGGUUGAUUGAGUCAGAUGUGAAAUCCCCGGGCUUAACCCGGGAAUUGCAUCUGAUACUGGUCAGCUAGAGUCUUGUAGAGGGGGGUAGAAUUCCAUGUGUAGCGGUGAAAUGCGUAGAGAUGUGGAGGAAUACCGGUGGCGAAGGCGGCCCCCUGGACAAAGACUGACGCUCAGGUGCGAAAGCGUGGGGAGCAAACAGG